UACAGAGGUCUCAAGCGUUGUUCGGAAUCACUGGGCGUAAAGGGUGCGUAGGUGGCGUGGCAAGUCAGAUGUGAAAGCCCGGGGCUCAACUCCGGAACUGCAUCCGAUACUGCCAUGCUAGAGCGCUGAAGAGGUGACCGGAAUUCUCGGUGUAGCAGUGAAAUGCGUGGAUAUCGAGAGGAACACCAAAGGCGAAGGCAGGUCACUGGGCAGUUGCUGACACUGAGGCACGAAGGCCAGGGUAGCGAACGGG
rnacentral:rRNA from 1 species